rnacentral:rRNA from 1 species
CGAUUCUGGCUCAGGAUGAACGCUAGCGGCAGGCUUAACACAUGCAAGUCGAGGGGCAGCGCGGGUAGCAAUACCUGGCGGCGACCGGCGAAAGGGUGAGUAACGCGUGAGCAACAUGCCCGAUACUGGGGGGAUAGUCGAUGGAAACGUCGCGUAAUACCCCGUAACACAUUCUCUCGCAUGGGGGGAUGUUGAAAGAUUGAUUGGUAUCGGAUUGGCUCGCGUGCCAUUAGGUAGACGGCGGGGUAACGGCCCACCGUGCCGACGAUGGCUAGGGGUUCUGAGAGGAAGGUCCCCCCACAUUGGAACUGAGACACGGUCCAGACUCCUACGGGAGGCAGCAGUGAGGAAUAUUGGACAAUGGCCGGAAGGCUGAUCCAGCCAUGCCGCGUGCGGGAUGGAACCGGCCCUAUGGGUUGUAAACCGCUUUUGCGGGAGAGCAAUAAGAGCAACGUGUUGCUCGAUGAGAGUACCCUGCGAAUAAGCAUCGGCUAACUCCGUGCCAGCCGCCGC